AUAAUUAUUUACAUUUUAAAAUGAAAUAAGAAUAUGUGACAAACUCUUAGACCAAACACACGUUCGGCAACCCCAAACCCCUUCCUCACGUUCGCCGCUUUCGUGGUUGAGUACGUCAUCUCCGGCCGUUCGGAACAUCGGUCAUCCGUGCGCCGUCGGCUGUCUUCAAUUGCCGUCCGUUCGCAGUGCCCUCAUUCGUCUUUUUUUCGCCUUGAUAUUCGUAUUCAGGGAUCUGUCCGUUCAUAUCUUCAACCCAGAAAAUCGUCCAUUCUCCGCCAGAGUCUCCGAUUUCCGUUUGUUUUACAGCCAUCUGUCCUUUCGUGUUCGUCUUUAGCAUCAUAGUCUUCGACUUAUCAAAUCGGCAAGGGGAGCUGGUUUUGAAGGAUUUCGAUGGGACCGUCAAUGAUUGGUUGUCAACUAUAAAGGAAGGGCAUACACUCAGAGAGUGGAACCUAAACUUGCUCUGGUCGAGAUAGACCUGUCGAACGAUGCAUUCUUGGAGGACUGGAAACCUUCUAAAACCUCGUUUCUUGUCAUAAAAGCACCUGGGAUGGAUGUCUUACAGGUUCCCCUGCAUGAACCGCGGCAGAAUGCAGAUGGUGUCUUUGUGUGGGAAUGCUCUGGCUCUGCACUAGAUGAGGGAGAUGCUCCAUCGAAGUGGUUUUCAGAUUAUCUUGGAAAACCCAAUCAUUUGGUUCGCUUUAAUGCAGUACGUAGUGUUGCUGCUGAAGAAAUCAGAGAUGCUUAGUCAUGGGCAGGGUUCAGAAGCUGGCUGGAUUGUGCGUAGCCACUUCAAUAGAAAAGGUAGGCUUCCUCUUCACAUUUAUUUUUUAUAGAAAUAGUCGACACUCUGUAGUUUGCCGAUGGCUCAUUCUUGUUUAUCAAUGGUCGACUCUUUGCAAUAGUUUUAUGAUAUAACAACAAUAUCGGAUAUUGUUAUUAUUGUUGACAUAGAUUUAUUGGGUCGUGGCUAUUA